rnacentral:rRNA from 1 species
AAAUUGAAGAGUUUGAUCAUGGCUCAGAUUGAACGCUGGCGGCAGGCCUAACACAUGCAAGUCGAACGGUAACAGGAAGCAGCUUGCUGCUUCGCUGACGAGUGGCGGACGGGUGAGUAAUGUCUGGGAAACUGCCUGAUGGAGGGGGAUAACUACUGGAAACGGUAGCUAAUACCGCAUAACGUCGCAAGACCAAAGAGGGGGACCUUCGGGCCUCUUGCCAUCGGAUGUGCCCAGAUGGGAUUAGCUAGUAGGUGGGGUAACGGCUCACCUAGGCGACGAUCCCUAGCUGGUCUGAGAGGAUGACCAGCCACACUGGAACUGAGACACGGUCCAGACUCCUACGGGAGGCAGCAGUGGGGAAUAUUGCACAAUGGGCGCAAGCCUGAUGCAGCCAUGCCGCGUGUAUGAAGAAGGCCUUCGGGUUGUAAAGUACUUUCAGCGGGGAGGAAGGGAGUAAAGUUAAUACCUUUGCUCAUUGACGUUACCCGCAGAAGAAGCACCGGCUAACUCCGUGCCAGCAGCCGCGGUAAUACGGAGGGUGCAAGCGUUAAUCGGAAUUACUG